rnacentral:rRNA from 1 species
CGUGAGUGAGAAGCUCGGGUGUAAGCUCUUCAGCCGGAAGAAAUCGCGCAGGAUAAUACUCUGCGUGGAUGAACGGUACCGGAAGAGAAGCACCGGCUAACUACGUGCCAGCAGCCGCGGUAAUACGUAGGGUGCGAGCGUUAAUCGGAUUACUGGGCGUAAAGCGUGCGCAGGCGGUUAUGUAAGACAGAUGUGAAAAUCCCCGGGGCUCAACCUGGGAACUGCGUUUGUGACUGCAUAACUAGAGUACGGCAGAGGGAGGUGGAAAUUCCGCGUGUAGCAGUGAAAAUGCGUAGAUAUGCGGAGGAACACCGAUGGCGAAGGCAGCCUCCUGGGCCAGUACUGACGCUCAUGCACGAAAGCGUGGGGAGCAAACAGGAUUAGAUACCCUGGUAGUCCACGCCCCUAAACGAUGUCAACUAGUUGUUCGGUGAGGAGACUCAUUGAGUAACGCAGCUAACGCCGUGAAGUUGACCGCCUGGGGAGUACGGCCGCAAGGUUAAAACUCAAAGGAAUUGACGG